CCUUCCAGCCUCCGGCACCCUGAGAACUGGGUGUGAGUGCUGAUUUCUCCACCUGUCUUAUUUCUUAAUAUCUGCAACCAGCUCAGAGCCAGGGAUAAGUCAAGACUCCACCAGCCCAUGUAUGGCUGCCCGGCUGCCCCCAGCCUUGCCCUCAGUUCUUCCCCGAGGGCAUGUCCUGUUGAGAGCCGGUUUCACCUGUGCAGUGUGGCCUGAUGGCCCAGCACCCAGGAGCUCUGCGCACCCUGCCGCCAUGGGCCAUCCGUCCCCAGACCUCUUCCCACAGGGUCACUGUGGUCCACCGUCCUGCCCUCGGGGAAUCUCAGCCUCCCUCUCACAGGUGCACACAUGGGGAGCAGCCAAGGAUUUCUGCAGAAAAAUUCACUCCAGAGGUCAGCAGCUAGAAGCACAAAUGGAGAGUGAGUGAGCACGAGCGCCUCGUGGACUCAGCCCUCCCAGGCCCAGAACCAAGCGCCCAUGGACACCCCUACACGGGCAGCAAGGGCUGGAACCGGCAGCCUGGUGGACAUCCGCCCUGCAGGGCUCUCCCUCGCAGAGACUGCAGAAGAGGGUGUGCAGUGCUCAGCGCGGAAGGAUGUUCUCCCUGCUUUUAAGGAGCCGUGACUAUUUUGCUCAGCGUCCCUGGCGUGCCUUUCUCUGUACAAAAAGGAGACUUAGAGGCUUCCCCAUCCCAUUACCACAGCUGGGCGGCUUCUUGCAUGAGGGCACCUUGCUGAACUAAGUCACCCCAAGCUACCCUAGGCUCCCUGUGCACUGAGAUGCUGAGUCCUGAGGUGCCUUCCAGCACCAGUGAAUGGGACUAAAGUCUUCUGCAGUGUCGCGACCGUUCUGAAGUGAGUAUUCUGUGGUCAUUUGUUACCCUCUGUGAAGCCCAGGAAGCAGGGAUUCAGGGCUGACCAGGGACCACUUUGUUCUCUGCCCAUGCAUGGAAGGUCUGCACUUGGGCCCCAAAGCCUGAGUAAAGUUUCACCGUGAACUUCUUCCAGCAGGAUAAACAGUAGGGUUCAGUACUGAGGGUCUCCAGUUUAAACCCUGAUUCCACUACAAAAUAAAUGCUAGACUGGGCCACAUAUUUAAGCUGUGUUUUCCUUAUGCUUAAAAUGGCAGUAAGAUUCCUUCCAGAGGCCAUGCAGGGAGAUAAUGCCCACAGAACGCUCAGAGUGGGGCUUGGCAGAGACAGGGCUAGACAGGGGCUGUUAUUUAGUGCUGGCAUCUUUUAUUGGUGGCGAUGUUAUUUUAUUUUCUAUGAUUAUGUAAUUUCCUCCUUAUAAUCUCACCCUUGUUGCUUAUCUUAAGAGUGAUGUUUCAGGAGCAACAGCAUCAAUGUAGUGUUUGAUAUUCUGGACAAUCUAACACAAGCAAUUUCUAAUUCAUAAUCCACUAUUUGUAUUUGUUGAUUAUUUGUUUAUAAUAAAGAAAGCAAUGCUUUGUCAGUUUUCCACAAUCUGCCACCAACCUCAGAUAUGCUUUCAUGAAGCUCAUCUUCAAUUAAGGCCCGUGUGCUUUAUUUUUGUGAAAAAUGGAGAUGUGAAGACAUUCUGUGCUCUGCUAGGCUGUGUCCUGAGAACCCCCCUUUUAAAAAGGUUCUCAGUAUUGUAGGUGUCACUUUUUUCCAUUAUAAAUCACAAAAUGUAGUAGCCAGUUAACAAGACACAGGUGUUGCUCCCCUGAAAGUGCCUGCAGAAUGGUGCCGAGGUCCUCUCCUCACCCAUAGCUCUUGGCAUGAUUUAUUCCUGCUGCACGCCUUCCGGGAGGUCCACCAGGCUCACGUCUGUGUCUGUGGAGGUGUGUGUGAACAUGUGCACGUGAGGGUACAUCCAGUCUUCUACCAGCUAAUACGUCAGAGACCACAUAAUGUUAGGCUGGAAGAGACCCUAAAGGUUAUAUAAACCAAUUCCCUUAUUUUAGAGCUGAGAAAUUUCAGGUGCAAAGAAGGGAGAGGCUAUAACAUGGUGGCACUAGAAUAAGACUGCCGGGUUUGAAUCCUGGUGCAACUACUUAUUACCUGUGUGAUCUUGGGAAAGUGACUUAACCUUUCUGGGUCACAGUUUGGAUACCUAUAAACGGCAGAUAUUAACAGUCUCUAUUUGUGUGGAUAUUUUAACAAUAAAAUUAAAUCAUUCACGUAAAGAACUUAAAAGACUCUCAAAAAAAAAAAAAAAAAAAAAAAAAAAAAAA
rnacentral:lncRNA from 1 species